AGAGGCAAAAGCAUAAAAUCAUUUUUGAUGGGACACAACCAUCUACAAGUAGACAAGGAAUGUACGAUCCGGAUGAUGAUGAUGAUGAUGAUACAAACUCGACUGCAUCUGUUACUAGUGGCAGAAGAAGAAGAUUGUCAACCAACUUUGCACCAGUUAAUGAAGACAGCUCAUGCUCCUCAUUCACAGGCAAAUUUAAAAUAUUAGAUUUGGAUUUACGUUCAUGCGAAGAAAUGUUGGUAGAUGCAGAACACGAAGCAAUGGAAAUCGACCAACAACAACCAGCAACCGACAGCAGUUUAAAGAAAAGAAAAGUGGCAUCCACAGAUAAAGGCACACCACCCGUGAUUAAGAAAGCCAAAAAAAUCAGUCGACAUUCAUCUCCGACUGCAGCAGGCGCAAAAGACAGAGUCACAAAACUCAAGGAAGACAAAAUCAAGCAAGUCGAAAAAAAAGUUGAAGGAAAACGCAAGCAACAACCAUCGAAACCAACAACCUCGAAAGCCAAAAAUCGUGGAGGAAAUGCAUCUGAUGACGAUGAACCAAUGAUCGUUGACGAAUCGUCUGAAACUUGUGAAGAAGAAGGAAAGUCUUCAAAGGAGAGGAUGAAAGAAAGCAACAAAAAAAAAGGAAAGUUGAAAGCCAGGAUCCAGAAAAGGAAAGUGCAAAAGAGUUAUGCAAUAUACAUGUCCCUCAAUUCAAUUUUACAAAAAGAUGACAAUAAUGUCAUGAAAAAUAAAAUCGAACAUGAUGUAAGAAAUUCAAGCAGAAUGAAAAUCCUCACAGCGAUAUUUGUCAACUAUCUUAUGAAUAAACCAGAUUGCAGACUUGCCGAGGAGUAUGCCAUUACUGGUUUUGAGCAUUACAGAAUAAUGAAUUGCUUUAAAGAAAGAACGGAAAAUGUUUACAACAAUUGUAAAAAGAAAGAUCCUGAGUUGUAUCAAUUAUUUGAAGAAUUUAAGAAAGAAAUGGCCGACGAAGAAAAUGAAAUUGAUCAACUUUUGUUCAAAAAGUUUGAGGAGCUACAUGGAAAAAAGAAAUGGUGGCAGAAAAAUCAAGAAAGACUCGAAGAAUACAAUAAGUUUCGAAUUGAAAUGUUGACAAUCGUCAAUUGUAAAUUCGAAACGGAUCUUCUUCUCCAAGCAAGCCGAGAAAUGGAUAAGGACUUGCGGGUUCAUUUGCACCAGCAGGGACCUAAAAUGCUUCUAAAAUAUUUGAAAUUCAAAGAAUUUGGAAUUCCUCAACAAGAAGAAAGUGACAAGAAGAAAGUACCGGAAAAGGAUAAGAAGCUAGUGGAAAAGAAAACAAAAAAAAAUGAAAAAAGACUGGAGAAUUUCAAGAAGAAGGGUAAUCAAAGGAAAGAAGAAAACCAAAGGAGGGAAGGAAUAAUACCAACAUCAGAGGAAUUGAAACAAGCACGUAAAAAUAAGCAACAAAGUGCUCGAGAAAAAGCAAAGGCAGCUUACACAAAGAAACCUUGUAAAAAUCAAGAAAUAAAAAAAAUAACAAAGCAACUCAAAAGGGAUGAGAAUAAGAGUGAGAAGGAAAGGGAAAGGAAUCAACGAGAACGAAUAAGAAAGAAGGAGGAAAAAAUAGAAAAGAGGAAACAGAAAAAUGAAAAUAAAGAACAAAUUUUUACCUUCAAAAAAAGUGGCAAGAAAGAAUGUUGGACCAGUAAGGAGAUGAAGGAGAAAAAUAAAAAUGUGGAAAAAGCACUGAUCAACUUGCUUAUAUAUGAUAUGUGUUAUGACGAUACACUGUACGGUUAUUUGGAAGACAUACAGAGAAAAACGGAAGAGUUAAAAGAAAUUCGUUUGAAGAGGGAGAAAGAGAAGGAGGAGAAGAAAAAGAAAAAAGUGAACCAGGAGCAAAACGAUAAAGGAAAAAAAGAGAAAAAAUUAGAAAAGAUAGAAAAAGAAGAGGUUGGACUUUUGAAUUUUCAAGAUUUAGACAUUCCACAUUUGUGUUACAAAUUUCUACCCCUAUUCAUGAGAAUGCAGAGAGAGUUGGUUGACAGCGGGGCCAAAGGAUUUGUCCUUUUUCCCAUGAAGCGUUUCGGCUUGCAUCAUGCCACGUAUACCGAAACUGUUCUUGAAAGGGAUGUCUUGAAUUACUUGAAAAAUUUAACGACUGAAAGUACUGAAAAGGAACAGGUAGAUAAAAUAAGAGAAAAGUUGAUAAAAGUGGAUCCUACAGAAAGAGAGAAAGAAAAAAACGUGGCCAAGUUGAAAAAGAAAUACGACAAUCUAAAAACAUUGUGGGAAGCACUUUUUGAUCUGAAGAAAGUUAAGGACAAACACAAGAAUAAACGAGCAUGUAGUGUACCUCGAUGUAUGCAGACAGAUGGCGUUAAAGUGUCUCUGAUAUUUGAUUUGAAGAAGGAAAAGCAGGAAGAGGAGACAUUACCAUCAAGUGGAAAUCAAAAGAAAACGAAGAAGAAGAAGAAAAUUAAAUAUCAACGGUUCGUGGGCCUCGAUCCAGGUCUGAAGGCAAUGUUUGGCGGAGGAAUGCGUGAAGAUGAUCCCCAUAUAAAAAAAGAUGAAAGGACCAAAAAAGUAGACAAGAAGCAACACACUCUAAUUUACGCAAAUACAAAAACUUUUCGAUUUCGUAAUGGCGAAUUGCGUCGAAAAAGCCUGCUGCACAAAUACUCGAAAGACAUUGACGAGAGGUACAACAACUUUAUGAAGAAGAACGAAAAAUACAACAAAGUCGAUAAAAAUGAUCCGACAAAGUACCUAUUACUUGCUAAAUUCUAUUUAAAACAAUUCGAAAUUAAACAAGAUAAAUUGACAGAAAGAUGUUUUCGAAAUUUAAAAUUCAACAAGCUGAUAAUGGUACAACGGGAAAUGGACAGAGUUGUCAAUUUCAUUAUGGGAGACAAUGUAAAGAAAGAACCGUGCUUUGUGGCCAUAGGAUCAACAAAAAUUAAUCCGUGUAUGAAAGGACACGUCAAAACCCCAAUAAUGAAAAUAGAGAAGCGGUUGAGAGAACGAUCGAAACAAGUUGGAGAAGAAAGACUGAAGGUUGUAAGCGCCUAUGAAGGAUACACAACAAAAAUGUGUAGCUCAUGCAACCAGAAAAAUAUUGUUUCCAGGUCCCCCAAGCGGUAUGCAUUUUGCCAAAACUGUCAUGUCGUUUGGAACAGGGACGUAAAUGCUGGAAUUAAUAUUCUAAACAUUGCCCUCAUCAACGAAGAAAUCUUGGAAGCAGCAGACAUUCCCAAUUCUGAGGUCUUCCCGGGCAUAAUCAGCGCAACGGACAUGUGAUCCAGAUGCAGCCUCGUGGCAUACAGCAAAUGUAAGUCAACUUUUUCUACAAACAACUGAUGAAAAUGGAGUGUAAUGUGAUGGGUGAGUUUUUUAUCAGCAUCUUUCAUCAAAAUUAUCAACAAAUGGACUCUUGGAUAUUAUACCCAGAGCAUGGAUGUUUGAUACAGGAUUAAAUGAUCUGAACACGUAGAGAGAACAAUUUGAACUGAAGGAACGACGAUUUGCAGUCAACUGAAGAAUGAGAUGUGACGACUCAAACUUGAGGGCCUGAACUUGAAGACGAAGACGACGACCAUUCAUGAUGACGACUGUACUGCAUGUGAAUUCUUGGUGUACAAGAUACCCGGCUUUUAUAUAUUUACAUGGUCUAUCACCAAGAGGACUGUCCCUUCCACCCUCCAGACUAAAUCCGAGACCAGCUCCAUCUUUAUAAAUUGCUACAGUCGAAGGUGGUCCCCAUGCUGUGUUUUCAACCCCACCAUUCAUCUCAUAUCCUAUGGAGAUGGAUGGGAACAGGUCGUGAACGAAGACUAUAAAAGAGAGGUGAAAUUUUCACGCCGAUUUUCAUUCAGGACAUUUUAACUUAAUUGUAACAUCAAAUUGGAUUAUUACCUGUAAAGUACGAGAUAUUCCGUGAUUUCGACAAGAUCUGGAAACGUAAGAUUCGAAAAGGCAGAGUCGUUCGCAUGAUCGAUCAGUAAAAUUUGAACAAAUCCUUCGACGACUCGACAACCUUGAAGUCUGCUGAACUCGCUAACUGAAUUGCGUAUGUCUAUGCUUUGGCACACUGUAAACAAAAAUAAAACAAUAAAAAUUUAAGUAUUAGAUAAA